rnacentral:rRNA from 1 species
UGGGGAAUUUUGGACAAUGGGGGAAACCCUGAUCCAGCCAUUCCGCGUGAGUGAAGAAGGCCUUCGGGUUGUAAAGCUCUUUCAGGAGGGAAGAAACGGUUGCAGCUAAUACCUGCGACUAAUGACGGUACCUUCAGAAGAAGCACCGGCUAACUACGUGCCAGCAGCCGCGGUAAUACGUAGGGUGCGAGCGUUAAUCGGAAUUACUGGGCGUAAAGCGUGCGCAGGCGGUUUUGUAAGUCAGAUGUGAAAGCCCCGGGCUCAACCUGGGAACUGCGUUUGAAACUACAAGGCUAGAGUGUAGCAGAGGGGGGUAGAAUUCCACGUGUAGCAGUGAAAUGCGUAGAGAUGUGGAGGAAUACCGAUGGCGAAGGCAGCCCCCUGGGUUAACACUGACGCUCAUGUACGAAAGCGUGGGGAGCAAACAGG